AAAAUCCGUCGACUUUAGAAAUCGUGAGGGUUCAAGUCCUC
rnacentral:tRNA from 1 species